rnacentral:rRNA from 1 species
ACGUAGGGGGCGAGCGUUGUCCGAAUUCACUGGGCGUAAAGCGCGCGUAGGCGGGUUAUUAAGUUGGUGGUGAAAUCCCGAGGCUCAACCUCGGAACUGCCGUCAAAACUGAUAGCCUAGAGGUUUGGAGAGGGAACUGGAAUUCCAGGUGUAGAGGUGAAAUUCGUAGAUAUCAGGAGGAACACCGGUGGCGAAGGCGACUUUCUGGCCAUAUCCUGACGCUGAGGUGCGAGAGCUUGGGUAGCGAACGG